CUCGAUCUGGAAGCCUGAUGAACUCUCGGCCACGAAAAGCCCCGCGGGGACGAACCAUCCGGCCCGUACCGCAAUCCGACACAGGUGUGCUAGGCGAGUAUCCGAAGGCGUUCGGGAGAACCCUCGUGAAGGAACUCGGCAAAAUGACCCCGUACCUUCGGUACAAGGGGUGCUCUCCGCAAGGAGAGCCGCAGAGAAUCGGCUCUAGCGACUGUUUAUCAAAAACACAGGACUCUGCCAACUCGCAAGAGGACGUAUAGAGUCUGACGCCUGCUCGGUGUCGGUAGGUUAAGGGAGCCGAUGAGGCGAGAGCCGAAGUUGGCGACCGAAGCCCCGAUAAACGGCGGCCGUAACUAUGACGGUCCUAAGGUAGCGAAGUUCCUUGUCGGGUAAGUUCCGACCUGCAUGAAUGGCGUAACGACUGGAGCACUGUCUCCACGAGGGACCCGGUGAAACUGUAGCCGUGGUGAAGAUGCCACGUACCCGCGGUCAGACGGAAAGACCCCGUGAACCUUUACUGCAGGUUCGCAUUGGGUCAGCGUCCUUUCUGUGUAGCAUAGGUGGGAGGCCGUGAUCCGGCGGCGCCAGCCGUCGGGGAGCCAUCGGUGAAAUACCACCCUGAAAUGACUCUGAUCCUCACCGGUCCGUAGCCCGGACCGGGACCAUGCUCAUCGGGCAGUUUGACUGGGGCGGUCUCCUCCCAAAGCGUAACGGAGGAGUGCAAUGGUACCCUCGGCCAGGUCGGCAAUCUGGCAACAUGAGCGCAAACGUAGAAGGGUGCCUGACUGCGAGACCCAUCAGUCGAGCAGGGACGAAAGUCGGCGUUAGUGAUCCGGCGGUGCUGGAUGGAAAGGCCGUCGCUCAACAGAUAAAAGGUACUCCGGGGAUAACAGGCUGAUCUCCCCCGAGCGUCCAUAGCGGCGGGGAGGUUUGGCACCUCGAUGUCGGCUCAUCGCAUCCUGGGGCUGGAGAAGGUCCCAAGGGUUUGGCUGUUCGCCAAUGAAAGCGGUACGCGAGCUGGGUUCAGACCGUCGUGAGACAGGUCGGUCCCUAUCUGCCGUGGGCGGAGGAAACUUGCGAAGGGUCUCCCCUAGUACGAGAGGAUUGGGGAGGACCGACCUCUGGUGUACCGGCUGUCCCGCUCGGGGCACCGCCGGGUAGCUAGGUCGGGAAAGGAUAAGCGCUGAAGGCAUCUAAGCGCGAAGCCCUCUUCAAGACGAGGUUUCCAGCACGCAAGUGCGAAGGCUCCUGGAAGACGACCAGGUCGAUAGGCCGGGAGUGCACGGCGAGUGAUCGCCGCAGCCGACCGGUCCUAACAGCCGAUCGCUUGACCAC
rnacentral:rRNA from 1 species